UACGUAGGAGGCGAGCGUUUGUCCGGAAUUACUGGGCGUAAAGAGCGCGUAGGCGGCUUUUUAAGUCUGGUGUGAAAUCUCCCGGCUCAACUGGGAGGGUGCGCCGGAUACUGAGGGGCUAGAGUGUGGGAGAGGAAGUGGAAUUCCUGGUGUAGCGGUGAAAUGCGUAGAGAUUGGAAAGAACACCGAUGGCGAAGGCACUUUACUGGGCUAUUACUAACACUCAGAGACGAAAGCUAGGGUAGCAAAUGGG
rnacentral:rRNA from 1 species